AUUGAACGCUGGCGGCAUGCCUUACACAUGCAAGUCGAACGGCAGCACGGGUGCUUGCACCUGGUGGCGAGUGGCGAACGGGUGAGUAAUACAUCGGAACGUACCUUAUCGUGGGGGAUAACGCAGCGAAAGCUGUGCUAAUACCGCAUACGCCCUGAGGGGGAAAGCGGGGGAUCGAAAGACCUCGCGCGAUUAGAGCGGCCGAUGCCUGAUUAGCUUGUUGGUGGGGUAAAAGCCCACCAAGGCGACGAUCAGUAGCUGGGCUGAGAGGACGAUCAGCCACACUGGGACUGAGAAACGGCCCAGACUCCUACGGGAGGCAGCAGUGGGGAAUUUUGGACAAUGGGGGCAACCCUGAUCCAGCAAUGCCGCGUGAGUGAAGAAGGCCUUCGGGUUGUAAAGCCCUUUUGUCAGGGAAGAAACACCGGCUCUAACACAGUCCGGGAAUGACGGUACCUGAAGAAUAAGCACCGGCUAACUACGUGCCAGCCGCCGCAGUAA
rnacentral:rRNA from 1 species